CAUGUGCAUUUGGACACAAGAGUGCAAUACCCGAGGAGGCCAGAAGAGGGCGUGAGAUGGGGAGCUGGAGUUCCAGGGCAUGGUGACCACCGCCUGAUGCAGGUCCUGGGAACUGUGGUCUCUUUAAAGAGCACCAUCUCUCCAGCCACCAGACUUCAGAUUUAGUCGUGCAGACUGGUGAGGUUUGGAGCUGGUUCAGUCCAUAAAGCAUUAGACUCUUAAUUCUGCCGUUUGUAUAACUUCAACAUAAGCUUAAUAUAACGCAGUUUUAUCACAUGGAAGCGGAGCUUUGGUGAAGGAUGAGAUCCGGAUACUCAACAGGAGUGCUUUGCCUGCGUGUGUGUGUCACUGCUUGCAUAGCUGCUACCCGAGGAGAUGAGGAAAGGCUGUUGGAUCCUUGUAACGGGGAUUACAGUGUGGGACUCCAUGGGAUGGUGCUGCCUAUAGGCAGGACAAGGCUUUCCUCAGUUAUAUCUUCCUGGAAACAUCGGCAGAGACAUGCUCAGUGGUUUGCCUUUAAAUUCAGCCUGACAAUGAAGGGAAAACUCUCUUGCCCAGGAAGGUGGUAGGCGAUUGAAGAGCUGAGCUACCAGCUUUGACUUAAAAACUCUGCGUCUGCAAGUUCCAGAGAAGCCGAAGCAUGUUGGACAGAGGGAUCUGAAAAUGAAGCUUCCGAAAAUUGAAGCAAGAGGUAUAGCGCCUCUGAGGGGCCACAGAGAGGAGCGUUGUCAGGGUGACCCACCAGAGGUUUCACUAUUAAAAAACAACCUCUCUUC